GUACUCAGCUGGAGAGUGAAUGUUUGAAGGGGUAUGGGACUAGUGGGUACUCAGCUGGAGAGUGAAUGUUUGAAGGGGUAUGGGACUAGGUACUCAGCUGGAGGGUGAAUGUUUGAAGGGGUACGGGUCUAGGGGGUACUCAGCUGGAGAGUGAAUGUUUGAAGGGGUAUGGGAGUAGGGGGUACUCAGCUGGAGAGUGAAUGUUUGAAGGGGUAUGGGACUAGGUACUCAGCUGGAGAGUGAAUGUUUGAAGGGGUACGGAACUAGGGGUACUCAGCUGGAGAGUGAAUGUUUGAAGGGGUAUGGGACUAGGUACUCAGCUGGAGAGUGAAUGUUUGAAGGGGUACGGAACUAGGGGUACUCAGCUGGAGGGUGAAUGUUUGAAGGGGUAUGGGACUAGGGGGUACUCAGCUGGAGGGUGAAUGUUUGAAGGGGUACGGGACUAUAACAAGUUUGGGAACCAGUGAUCUAUCAUUGACUUUACACAUUUUUCUGUCUCUUCGUUGUAGACUGCUAAUCUCCGGCCACUACGGUAAUCAGCACAUCACACACACACACACACACACACACACACACACACACACACACACACACACACACACACACACACACACACACACACACACACACACACACACACACACACACACAGACACACACACAGACACACACACUCAUUAGAGCUGCCUAAUCUGAUGUUCCACAUCACAGAGCUAAGUGAACGGUUGCCAGAGAAAAGUGGGGCCAUGGCCGUAACCACAUAAGAGACACCAAUGAGUAGAACCUUGACCAGUGGUGUUAUGUUCUCCUGUCUCUUAGUGAAUGAGUAGAACCCUG
rnacentral:lncRNA from 1 species